rnacentral:tRNA from 1 species
GGAGAGAUGGCAGAGUGGUUUAUUGCAACGGUCUUGAAAACCGUCGAAAAAUAUUAAUUUUUCCGGGGGUUCAAAUCCCUCUCUCUCCG